rnacentral:rRNA from 1 species
UACGAAGGGGCUAGCGUUGUUCGGAAUUACUGGGCGUAAAGCGCACGUAGGCGGAUCGAUCAGUCAGGGGUGAAAUCCCAGAGCUCAACUCUGGAACUGCCUUUGAUACUGUCGGUCUAGAGUAUGGAAGAGGUGAGUGGAAUUCCGAGUGUAGAGGUGAAAUUCGUAGAUAUUAGGAAGAACACCAGUGGCGAAGGCGGCUCACUGGUCCGGUACUGACGCUGAGGUGGCGAAAGCGUGGGGAGCAAACAGG